AGUGAACGCUGGCGGUAGGCCUAACACAUGCAAGUCGAACGGCAGCACAGGAGAGCUUGCUCUCUGGGUGGCGAGUGGCGGACGGGUGAGGAAUACAUCGGAAUCUACUCUGUCGUGGGGGAUAACGUAGGGAAACUUACGCUAAUACCGCAUACGACCUACGGGUGACAGCAGGGGUCCUUCGGGCCUUGCGCGAUUGAAUGAGCCGAUGUCGGAUUAGCUAGUUGGCGGGGUAAAGGCCCACCAAGGAGACGAUCCGUAGCUGGUCUGAGAGGAUGAGCAGCCACACUGGAACUGAGACACGGUCCAGACUCCUACGGGAGGCAGCAGUGGGGAAUAUUGGACAAUGGGCGCAAGCCUGAUCCAGCCAUACCGCGUGGGUGAAGAAGGCCUUCGGGUUGUAAAGCCCUUUUGUUGGGAAAGAAAUCCAGCUGGCUAAUACCCGGUUGGGAUGACGGUACCCAAAGAAUAAGCACCGGCUAACUUCGUGCCAGCCGCCGCCGAA
rnacentral:rRNA from 1 species